rnacentral:rRNA from 1 species
UACGUAGGGGGCAAGCGUUGUCCGGAUUUAUUGGGCGUAAAGAGCGUGUAGGCGGCCAGGUAGGUCCGUUGUGAAAACUCGGAGGCUCAACCUCGAGACGCCGAUGGAAACCAUCUGGCUAGAGUCCGGUAGGGGACCAUGGAAUUCCUGGUGUAGCGGUGAAAUGCGCAGAUAUCAGGAGGAACACCGGUGGCGAAGGCGGUGGUCUGGGCCGGCACUGACGCUGAGGAGCGAAAGCGUGGGGAGCGAACAGG